rnacentral:rRNA from 1 species
AUUGAACGCUGGCGGAAUGCUUUACACAUGCAAGUCGAACGGUAGAGGGGGCAACCCCUCGAGAGUGGCGAACGGGUGAGUAAUAUAUCGGAACGUGCCCAGUCGUGGGGGAUAACGUAGCGAAAGUUACGCUAAUACCGCAUACGAUCUACGGAUGAAAGCGGGGGACCGUAAGGCCUCGCGCGAUUGGAGCGGCCGAUGUCAGAUUAGGUAGUUGGUGAGGUAAAGGCUCACCAAGCCGACGAUUUGUAGCUGGUCUGAGAGGACGACCAGCCACACUGGGACUGAGACACGGCCCAGACUCCUACGGGAGGCAGCAGUGGGGAAUUUUGGACAAUGGGCGCAAGCCUGAUCCAGCCAUUCCGCGUGCAGGACGAAGGCCUUCGGGUUGUAAACUGCUUUUGUACGGAACGAAAAGGCUCUGGUUAAUACCUGGGGCUCAUGACGGUACCGUAAGAAUAAGCACCGGCUAACUACGUGCCAGCAGCCGCCGUAA